rnacentral:rRNA from 1 species
AGGACGAACGCUGGCGGCGUGCUUAACACAUGCAAGUCGAACGGUAAGGCCCUUCGGGGUACACGAGUGGCGAACGGGUGAGUAACACGUGGGUGAUCUGCCCUGCACUUUGGGAUAAGCCUGGGAAACUGGGUCUAAUACCGAAUAUGACCAUGGGAUGCAUGUCUUGUGGUGGAAAGCUUUUGCGGUGUGGGAUGGGCCCGCGGCCUAUCAGCUUGUUGGUGGGGUUACGGCCUACCAAGGCGACGACGGGUAGCCGGCCUGAGAGGGUGUCCGGCCACACUGGGACUGAGAUACGGCCCAGACUCCUACGGGAGGCAGCAGUGGGGAAUAUUGCACAAUGGGCGAAAGCCUGAUGCAGCGACGCCGCGUGAGGGACGAAGGCCUUCGGGUUGUAAACCUCUUUCAGCACAGACGAAGCGCAAGUGACGGUAUGUGCAGAAGAAGGACCGGCCAACUACGUGCCAGCAGCCGCGGUAA